rnacentral:snoRNA from 1 species
UAACACAUUCAACAGUAGGAUCAUUUCUAUAGGAAUCGUCACUCUUUGACUCUUCAAAAGAGCCACUGAAUCCAACUUGGUUGAUGAGCCCAUAACCUUUGUACCCUAGAGUGAGAAAUUGAAAUUAAUCUAAAUUAGCUUGGUCCGCAAUCCUUAGCGGUUCGGCCAUCUAUAAUUUUUAACAAAUUUUGCUUUGCCGUUGCAUUUGUAAUUUCUUCCUUUGGAAGCUUUUACGAUCUUUAAUGGCGCGAUGAUCUUGACCCAUCCUAUGUACUUCCUUUUUGGAAGGGAUAGGGCUUCAUGGGUGGGUACAAAUGGCAGUCUGACAAGU